rnacentral:rRNA from 1 species
UACGAGGGCCUCAAGCGUUAUCCGGAUUUAUUGGGCGUAAAGGGUCCGUAGGCGGUUUGGCGCAUCUCCUGUUAAAUCACGAGGCUCAACCUCGUGGCCGCGGGAGAGAUGGUUAAACUAGAGGCCGGACGAGGCAAGCGGAAUUGCUGGUGUAGGGGUUAAAUCCGUUAAUAUCAGCAGGAACACCAAAUGCGAAGGCAGCUUGCUAGGACGGUUCUGACGCUCAGGGACGAAAGCGUGGGGAGCGAAUGGGAUUAGAUACCCCAGUAGUCCACGCUGUAAACGCUGGAUGCUAAGCAUUGGCAGUAUCGACCCUGUCAGUGCUGCUUACCUAAGCUAACGCGUUAAGCAUCCCGCCUGGGGAGUACGGCCGCAAGGCUAAAACUCAAAGGAAUAGACGGGGACCCGCACAAGCGGUGGAGCAUGUGGUUUAAUUCGACGAUAAGCGAGGAACCUCACCAAGGCUUGACAUCUAGCUGCAGACCCCUGGAAACAGGGGAGCCUUCGAGGGUGCUAGACAGAUGCUGCAUGGUUGUCGUCAGCUCGUGCCGUGAGGUGUACCGUUAAGUCGGGAAACGAGCGCAACCCCUAUCCUAUGUUUUAUAUGCCAUAGGAAACUGCCCGCUUUAAGUGGGAGGAAGGUGGGGACGACGUCAAAUCAGCAUGGUUCUUACGCCUUGGGCUACACACGUGCUACAAUGGGAGGUACAACGGGACGCCAAGCCGUAAGGUGGAGCCAAUCCCCUAAAACCUCUCUCAGUUCGGAUUGAGGUCUGAAACUCGACCUCAUGAAGCCGGAAUCGCUAGUAAACGCGCAUCAGCCAUGGCGCGUUGAAUACGUUCUCGGGUCU